rnacentral:lncRNA from 1 species
CCGGAAUUUUAUUUAAAUUUUAUUUUUAUACAUUUUCGAAGCUUUAGUGCAUUUAUUUUAUUUCUUUUUUUUGGGGGGUUAUAUAUGCAUUAGAAUAGAAACAACUGUCAUGCAAUUGUUUUAUAAUCUCAACUUGCUGAAAAUCCCAAUAUCCCUGCAAGAAUGUGUAUCGCGCAUGAACAGACUAUAAAAGUAGUUUCGGAAACAUGGUUUAUCGAAGUGUAAACCAAGAGAUAAAUUCUUCUUGGCCAAUCCAAUUCAAGUAUUUAUAGAUAUGCAAAUGAUAUAAGAAUUAU